rnacentral:rRNA from 1 species
AUUGAACGCUGGCGGCAGGCCUAACACAUGCAAGUCGAGCGGAUGAAGGGAGCUUGCUCCUGGAUUCAGCGGCGGACGGGUGAGUAAGGCCUAGGAAUCUGCCUGGUAGUGGGGGAUAACGUCCGGAAACGGGCGCUAAUACCGCAUACGUCCUGAGGGAGAAAGUGGGGGAUCUUCGGACCUCACGCUAUCAGAUGAGCCUAGUUCGGAGUAGCUAGUUGGUGGGGUAAAGGCCUACCAAGGCGACGAUCCGUAACUGGUCUGAGAGGAUGACCAGUCACACUGUAACUGAGACCCUGUCCAGACUCCUACGGGAGGCCGCAGUGGGGAAUAUUGGACAAUGGGCGAAAGCCUGAUCCAGCCAUGCCGCGUGUGUGAAGAAGGUCUUCGGAUUGUAAAGCCCUUUAAGUUGGGAGGAAGUGUAGUAAAUUAAUACCUUGCUGUUUUGACGUUACCAACAGAAAAAGCACCGGCUAACUGCGUG